rnacentral:misc_RNA from 1 species
GAUGAAGAACGUAGCGAAAUGCGAUAAGUAAUGUGAAUUGCAGAAUUCAGUGAAUCAUCGAAUCUUUGAACGCAUCUUGCGCUCCUUGGUAUUCCGAGGAGCAUGCCUGUUUGAGUGUCAUUACAACCCUCAAGCUCUGCUUGGUAUUGGGCCCCGCCAGUUCUGGCGGGCCCUAAAGUCAGUGGCGGUGCCUUCCGGCUCCGAGCGUAGUAAUUCUUCUCGCUCUGGAGACCCGGUUGUGUGCUUGCCAACAACCCCCAAUUUUUUAAGGUUGACCUCGGAUCAGGUAGGGAUACCCGCUGAACUUAAGCAUAUCAAUAAGCGGAGGA